CACGUAGGGCGCAAGCGUUGUCCGGAAUUAUUGGGCGUAAAGAGCUCGUAGGCGGUCUGUUGCGUCCGCUGUGAAAACUCGGGGCUUAACCCCGAGCCUGCAGUGGAUACGGGCAGACUAGAGGUAGGUAGGGGAGAAUGGAAUUCCCGGUGUAGCGGUGAAAUGCGCAGAUAUCAGGAGGAACACCAAUGGCGAAAGCACUCUACUGGGCCGACACUGACACUGAGAGACGAAAGCUAGGGGAGCGAAUGGG
rnacentral:rRNA from 1 species